rnacentral:rRNA from 1 species
UACAGAGGGGGCAAGCGUUGUUCGGAAUUACUGGGCGUAAAGGGCGCGUAGGCGGCCUUCUAAGUCGAACGUGAAAUCCCCGGGCUCAACCCGGGAACUGCGUCCGAUACUGGAAGGCUUGAAUCCGGGAGAGGGAUGCGGAAUUCCGAGGUGUAGCGGUGAAAUGCGUAGAUAUGGGGGAGGAACGACCGGUGGCGAAGGCGGCCGACCUGG